CCCUUAGAUGUUCUGAACCGCACGCGUGUUACACUGAUGCAUUCAACGAGCUUUACCUUGGCCGAGAGGCCUGGGAAAUCUUUUUAGCAUGCAUCGUGAUAGGGAUUGAUUAUUGCAAUUAUUAAUCAUGAACGAGGAAUUCCUAGUAAACGCAUUUCAUCAAAAUGCAUUGAUUACGUCCCUGCCCUUUGUACACACCGCCCGUCGCACCUACCGAUUGAGUGGUCCGGUGAAGUCUCGAGAUUGUGGCAAUCUCCUUUAUUGGAGUUUGACUGCGAGAACUUGCCUAAACCUUAUCACUGAGAGGAAGGUGAAGUCGUAACA
rnacentral:rRNA from 1 species